rnacentral:lncRNA from 1 species
CGGAAUCACAUAAGUUUGAUACAAUUGUUUCUGGUUUGUUAUCUUUGGUUAUAAUGCCAAUUCUAGCAGUUGAAGAAUUAUCAGUUGAUGGGUCUAGUGAUGGUAGUGGAGCACAAAAGAUUCCUGAAUUCAGACAGAAGUUAAAGCCUCUCAUUGACGAACAGUAGAGAACAUUUAAUUUCUUCUUAAAGAUUCGGCUCACGGGGC